GAUGAAGAACGUAGCGAAAUGCGAUAAGUAAUGUGAAUUGCAGAAUUCAGUGAAUCAUCGAAUCUUUGAACGCACAUUGCGCCCGCCAGUAUUCUGGCGGGCAUGCCUGUUCGAGCGUCAUUACAACCCUCAGGCCCCCGGGCCUGGCGUUGGGGAUCGGCGGAGCCCCCCGUGGGCACACGCCGUCCCCCAAAUGCAGUGGCGGUCCCGCCGCAGCUUCCAUCGCGUAGUAGCUAACACCUCGCGACUGGAGAGCGGCGCGGCCACGCCGUAAAACACCCAACUCUUCUGAAGUUGACCUCGAAUCAGGUAGGAAUACCCGCUGAACUUAAGCAUAUCAUAAGCGAGG
rnacentral:misc_RNA from 1 species